CAUGCUAGUUGAACAUUUCUUAACUAUGUGAGAAGUGUAGCGUACUGCUCAGUAACACGUGGUCAACCUGCCCUAGAGACGUGUAUAACCCCGGGAAACUGGGACUAAUACGCGAUAGGUCAUAUUUUCUGGAAUGGUUUAUGACAUAAAGGAUAUUUCAAACAUGUUUGAUUUAUUGCUUUAGGAUGGGACUGCGGCCGAUCAGGUUGUUGGUGGGGUAAUGGCCCACCAAGCCGAUUACCGGUGCGGGCUUUGAGAGAAGGAGCCUGGAGAUGGACACUGAGAAAAGGGUCCAGGCCCUACGGGGCGCAGCAGGCGCGAAAACUUCGCAAUGUGCGAAAGCACGACGAGGUUAAUCCGAGUGCAACAUGCUGAAUGUAGCUUUUGAUAAGUGUAAGUAGUUUAUUGAAUAAGGGGAGGGAAAGUCUGGUGUCAGCCGCCGCGGUAAUACCAGCUCCCCGAGUGGUUGGGACGUUUAUUGGGCCUAAAGCAUCCGUAGCCUGUUCUGUAGGUCUUAUGUUAAAACCAAUUGCUUAACAAUUGGACUGCAUGAGAUACCACAAAACUAGGAGGCGGGAGAGGUGGACGGUACUCCACGGGUAGUGGUAAAAUGCUCUGAUCCGUGGAAGACCACCAGUGGCGAAGGCGGUCCACCAGAACGCGCUCGACGGUGAGGGAUGAAAGCUGGGGUAGCGAACCGGAUUAGAUACCCGGGUAGUCCCAGCUGUAAACGAUGCAAGCUAGGUGAUGGAUUAGCCACGUGUUAAUCCAGUGCCGCAGGGAAGCCGUUAAGCUUGCCGCCUGGGGAGUACGGUCGCAAGGCUGAAACUUAAAGGAAUUGGCGGGGGAGCACCACAAGGGGUGAAGCCUGCGGUUCAAUUGGAUCAACGCCG
rnacentral:rRNA from 1 species